GGUAGCAUGGCCGAGGGGUCUAAGGCGCUGGUUUAAGGCACCAGUCAUUUCGAUGGCAUGGGUUCGAAUCCCACUGCUGCCA
rfam:Ciona savignyi cont_31040, whole genome shotgun sequence.